rnacentral:rRNA from 1 species
GACAGAGGGUGCAACCGUUGUUCGGAAUUACUGGGCGUAAAGCGCGUGUAGGCGGUCGGGCAAGUCGGAUGUGAAAGCCCCGGGCUCAACCCGGGAAGUGCAUUCGAUACUGCUUGGCUAGAGUACUGGAGAGGAUGGUGGAACUCUCGGUGUAGAGGUGAAAUUCGUAGAUAUCGAGAAGAACACCGGCGGCGAAGGCGGCCAUCUGGACAGAUACUGACGCUGAGACGCGAAAGCGUGGGGAGCAAACAGG